rnacentral:lncRNA from 1 species
UGAAUUGCAAUCGUGAGUUUUACUUCUCCUUGUCACCUUUUACUUUACUGUACUGAUAUGCCUUUUUGGAUUUUCAUCUAUAGCUAUGCCUUGGGUCCCUCUAACAACUAUUUUGGGUAUUACAACCUAGGUCAGAGAAACUUUUAGAUUCGUGAAUCCCUCAGAGCACUUGGAGCUUUAUUUUUGACAAAUGAGAUGACGCUAUAUGAAUAACAAUGAGUGUUUCUACUUUCUCUCAUUUUCUCCUCGGCCUUUUUUGACUUACCCCUAGUGCUUUUAUAUAUUAAUGGUGGAGUAGCAGAUGUUCACGGACAGGAACUCAUUUUGACCCUUGAAGGAAUCACACUCUUUUUUGUCGUGAAGAAGAGAGAAAGCUGAGAGAGGUAAAAAAUAAAUAAAAGAAACCUUUUAGUGGAGAGUCAUACUGGUCCACGAAUUGAAAAAGAAUAAAAAAAGAGAGAGCCACUGAGGAAAUAUCUAAAUGUGGGGUGAAUUCACAUUUGUUAGUCACUAGUGUUGCCCCUCCUAACCACCUCAGGCUCUUACGGCUAACUGUCUAUCCUUUUGUUGGGAUUUUUAUUUUAGAGGUAUAAAGUGACCUAGAGGUCAUUCCAUAAAUUGUAGAGGUAUUAAGGUCAAAUAACGCGUCUCGUUCUUCUUUAAUACCUUUUACAGACCUUCAAUCUUUAAGGUAGGGGGAGAGAAGUUCCAAAUACUAACAAUACUAUAAGAAAUUCGUCAGUGCUCACUAAGGAUGAAAUUCAAUCACAUUCUCAUCCUAUUGGCCUGAUGACAGACAAGAUUCUUCAACCAUUGUAAAAGGACAAGGACGUCGUCCUUUUUAAAUCUGUCCCUCUUUUACUUUGGUUGGGUAAUGUUAUACAUUUCUUCUUUUUUCGCUUUUUUUUGGAAUUGAUAUUUUCCUUUACUUAUAUUAAUACUUGUGUCCUUAAUAAAGUUACCUUGUUAUGCCUAAGACCUCCCUCUACUCUUCUCUAAAUGAAGGAGUUCCUAAUUAAGAAGUGGUAAACCUCCAAGAAAAGGUUGAGACACAGUGAGGGAAAAUUGAGGUUCUUGAGGACCAAGCUCGUGUCUAUAAGAAUCAACAUGUUGUUGGGAACGCCGUUCUAGUUAAGAUCAAUGGUUAUUUGUCUCUUAAUUUAUUUAGGUAUCAGCUUAUGCAUAAGUCUGUGGAUCUUAAGGAAUCCUUAAAUGAUAACCAUGCAAUCCAAAGACCCUCUUGACGUCUAUUCUCAAGAAAAGCUCUACAAACUAGAAUCUUAUGAAGAUGAUGCUAGAGAUCCCAAAGGAGUCUUGAUGCCUCUUAGGUAUUGGAUUAAAGGUUUAGUUAAAAAGAAGUUUGAAAAAACCAUUGGGUGAGCAGGGGAAUAAACUUAAAGAUGAAAAAACACCUGCUGACUUUGGAGUGUAUUCAAGAAAACUUUCCUACUUUAUGAGUAGGAAUUAGUGGGCCCAAGGAAUUGUAAAUAGUAUUCUCAGAUCUUGGUGUAACAACCCUUCUGUUGUUAUAGGUGAGUAAAUGGUGCAAAAGUUUUGGGCUAAGUUAUUCCCCGAACUGAAGUUACAAAUUUCAGGCUACUCUAGCUUCAAAUAAAAUAUGAGUGAGGUCUAGAAUAGAUCAAUCUGAGAAUGGAUUGGUUAAAUGUAAUAAAUUUUAGAUUGAUUUUAUGUUAGCAACUGUGAUAAGCAAUCCAUAGGACUUUUUAGAAGUAAAUUCGGGAGAGUAGAACUCCCGAUAUCGAACUAGACACAAAAGGGUUAGUCUAGGAUGUCAUGGUUUAAGGUGUGUCAUGAACAAUCCAAAACUGAGUGGAUUCUCGUGUUUCUACCUCUCCACUCUACCUAUAUCAUAUGGCAUAUCUCUAUAGUAACUCUUGCUAUAGUAGGAAAAUUUCCACUAUUUUGAAAGUCAACACUAGUCAAUCCCAUUAUAGAAGGAGACGUCGUUUUAGUAGGAUUAGGCCUCUAUAGAAGGGUAAAUUACCGUAAAUACAGAAAUUUCACUCAAAAUAAUUAUUUAUUCAUAAAGGUAAGUAUUUCACCCCUGUUAACAAUUAUUUUUUGUUUAUUAACCUUAAAAUUACUAGUUUACAUAUUUUGGGGAGAAUUUAAGCUUGAAUUAGUGAAUUUUUCGGUGCAAGGAGGUAAAUUAGGUGUAAAACCUUUGGGUUUUUGUUAUUAAUUAUUAAUUUAUUCUUGCAUGAAAUUAAUUCACUGAUGUAACCCUUAAAUUGAUAGGUUUAAGGUGAAUUAUAGUGAAAAACCCUAGAAUGGGGUGAAUAAUCAUGAAUUUGGCCAUGGUAAAGGGAUUAGGUUGUAAUCCUUGACAUGGUAGGUCAUUCGGUUGAUUAUUUAUUGUGUUCAUAUUUUUAGACCACGACUAAAUAAAAAUUUCACAGAAAGACAGGGCUUAGGCUUCAUGAGUGGUGCAAGCUUGGAUUGAGGUACUGAUGGUUUUAAUGUAGUCGAAACCUAAUUGGUGUUAUGUGUGCAUGAUAACUAAUUAUUAGUAUUAUCUGUAUAAUACAUGUUCAACAAAAUGAAUGACUAUUUGAUAUCCUAAGUGUAAAUCGCAUGCAAUGAACUUAUAUGAAACUUGUAGUACUUUAUAAGUGUUGUUUUUUAUUAUUGUGGUUGUGAUUUUUAUGGUAUCUGACAUUAUUGUGGUAUGCACUGAUAUUUGUACUUUUCCAUCGAAUUGGUGAUAUAAGAUUGAUAGACACUUGAUAUCUGGAUUGGUUACAUAGACAAGGACUCUUCCAUUACAGGUCAUGACUAGUGGGCGCAUAUAUAAGACCCUUAUAAUGUGUGUAUAAGGUACAAGUGAGUGUGGCAGUUCCUUGAGUGAAUCAAGGAUUAUAUGUUUCUUACUUUCAUUGGUUUAUUGAGUGAAUUGGGUUUGUAUGCUUAAUUGGUAAGGUGGUUUCUUGUGUAAACUGAGAAAUAUGUUAUUACUAUUAUGGUUGCUAAUAAGAAUCCUUGGGUGUUCUGGGUUGCUUACAAGUUGUGACAUGGCUCUAUGUUGUUUAUUACUUGUAUGAUUUGUACAUGGUUUAUAUGAUAGUUUCAUCAUGGUUGUUGACUUGGAGUCUUAUUAUUGGUCCUAGUUGACUUGACUGGUUAUCCCCGUUGACUCUUUUUAACUAAAUUUCAUGUAGUACUUGUUUACCAGGUUAAGUAUUAUGAACUUGAAAGAUAGUUGCAUGAUAAAAUUCGUGAUUGUCAUGUUGUACUAUAUUUUGGUUAUGUGUCCAUAUUUAUUAUUUUGAGUUGGCAGAUGACCCUAACGGCACACCGUUAUUUCUUGUGUGCUGAUACUAUAUGUUCUCUUCUUUUUGUUGAGUGCAUAGCAUAUUUCAGUAACUGUUUUGAGACCUCAACUAUGAUUUGGAUCAUUUUCGAACUUAAGGGUCUACAUUUUUUUGGGAUACCAUGGAUUCUUCUAUUAUUUUCCUAUCCCCUUAUUUCAGACACAAACAUUACUUUAGUUCUAGGGUUUCACCCCUAUUUUUGACAUUUACUAACGUUUUGGUAUGAUGACUUUUAGUUUCUAAGGGAUGGUUUUCUGCAUUAUUUUAUUGUUAUCUUUUGUUAUAUAUUUGGAUACUGAUUUUUUCAAUGGAAUUGGUUUUAAUUGCCUUUUUUGGCCAAGUUUUGAUUGGGUUAUGAUGUUUGUUGGUUCUCCCACUGGAAGGUUUUAGUGUGGGUACACUAAUAGCAAGUGUAGGUAGCCACACUCUGCCCCCGAGGAGUUUGUUUCUUCCACUGCUGAUUUGUUUGGAGACAAUAGUCCAGAUAAUCAUUAGUCCCGAUCAAUAGUCUUUCCUUAUGUUUACUUUAUUUGAGCUCCUCAUGUAGUUUUCUUAUGUUUAAUUAAUAUUUAAGACGUCACAUCUUUUUUAGAUUGUAACACCUUUUAGACAUUCAUUGAGUUUCUUUUGGUUGCUAUAAUUUUAGGCAUUAAAAUCUCUUAUUUGUGUUUGUGAUGGUCGUUUUGUGAUCGUUGAAGGUAGCCAGCCAACGAUUUUGAUUUUUAGGUGCUCAUUUUCUUAGCACAUAAUUUUGUCAAGGCUUGCAUCCCUUCAUACUAUUAUGUUUAUAAUAUUAUUUUAAUGUAUGUACUUCGUGUUUCAACUUUGAGAAAAGAUGAGGCCCUUUAUGUGAGAAAUUAUUGCAUUUUCAGCAUUUCUUGAAUGAUUAAGGACGUCUCCCACUUACAUUAAAUGUGAAGUGCGAAAACAUUUUAUUAUAAGCUUCGAAGACAUGGUAAUAAAUAAAAUAGAGCAAGAUCUUUAUUGGUAGAAAAGUUCUCUUUAUUUGUAGAGUAAUUUCUAUUACAAAGAUGUUUCUUAUAGGGCUUGAGUUGUCAUUCAUAAGAGUAAUCAUCCCUUGUCAAGUUACUAUUAUGAUCCAAGUCUACCCCCUAGUUAUAAUACGAUGCCUAGAGUCAUAAGUGACCACAAGCUAACCAUGGUCUGGUAUGAUGCAAAAAAAAUUGAAAAUAACUGAUAUAUAAACACUUAUGCAAAAGCUGAACUGAAUAACAAAAUAAGUAUUAAAUGAAAACCAAUCCACAAUAUUUGAGUUUAUGACCACAACCUGAACAUCUAACUGUAUGUCUGAAAGCCUACACUAAGAUGAGUUGUUGGGACUAGCCCUCAUUUAACUCUAACUUUUUAACACUGAGAACAACAAAGACAAAAUGAAUUGUUGAUAUUUUCCCUCGAAUGAUGAGGACUCAACAAGAAAUGUAGCUGAGGUGGUAGGAAGAUGUACUAAGUACGAUCCGGAUUCUGAGUGUUAGAACUUAUAUUAUGAAACAAUAUAGCACAAAAAAGUAUGCAAUUAGUAUUUUGAAUGUACUGAGUAUGUGAUAUAGGAAAUAACUAAUAUAAUCUAAACAUGAUACAUCUAAUAUGAUAAAAUAAUACAAGACCAAGUAAUAAAUAUGUACUGUAUAAUAAACUGGAUAACUGAAUACAAGGUCAUACAAGAAUCUGAACUGUAGUGUAAACUAUGGACUGUGGGAGCUACUAAUAACAAACAUACCCUAAUCUGAGCUAAUCAGGGUCAAACACAUAACCCCAUCUAAAAGGGUGUUCAGUAACUUGCUAAGAGUAUGAACACUGACUGAUGUAGAUCCAUUAAACUGAUGUCCGAAAGAACUAAGGUGUCAAGCCUGGUCUGAUGGGUGACCCUUUAUAACCUACCAUGGAAUUGUAGUUUUGGGACUUAGAGACUUCUACUAAAGGUAUCAAUCUAACUGGCGGUUGAGCCUUCUUCCUUGUAUCCGGCCGGUGCUAAGUACUACUCCUAACUGAAUGACAGUGAUGACUGCAUUGCUCAAUGCUAAUAAUAUUCUAAAAAAUAAAAAAUAAUAUAUCAUCUUAAAGCAUUUAAAUCAUGUAAACUAGGGGAUAUAGUACCCAAAAGUAUAUGAAUGAAAUCCUAGGUUAUCGGAUGUUCAUAACCCACCAUCUCUGAAGAGUGCAACUACUAUGCUAAUUCCAUCAGCUGAAUGAAUUUAAAAAUCUAAUAACUCAAGUCCGACAAUCAUAAAUUUCAUAAUAUAAUUAGGGUUUGUGAUCAUAGUCUUGUAAUAAUACUGAAAUUCAUGAUAAAACAGGGAUACAACUUAAUGACACCAUGGGACUGAGAUAUCAAUGAAUUUACCAAUAUCCAAAAAUCCUAAAUUAUGAAGAAGGAACUGAACUGGAGAAUUGGGUUAACUAUAGGACUCAAUGGAUGAAACAGGACCCAUUGAUGAAAUCCCACAUACCUGGGGAUGGAAACCUUGAAGAAUUCUUUAAAAUUAGAUGCCUGAAGAGGAUGAACCCUAACUUUACCUUCUUAUAAGAAAUCACCUCUAUUCUCUAUUUGCAACUAAGUGUCGAAUGAUUUUUUUGAAUAAUAAGAGCUUAGGGUAAUAUUAACACUAAUAAUCAUCCUUUAUAUAACCAAAAUGACAUAGUUUGAUGUUAAAGAGUGGGAAAAGACUAAUAUGCUCCUUUAAAAUUCAUAACUAGAAACUACUGGGAGGGACAGGACCUUCCCAUGAUCGUAGGAACAACCUACAAUCGUGGGUUUUACUCAUGGUUGGGAGCUAUAUGAGAUAUCUCUGAACAUGAUUAGAUGAUUCUUGGUACAAUUGUUGGAUCUAUCUACAAUCAUAACUUAGUUCGUACAUUUGAAGGUUUAAUCAUGAGCAUCUUGUAGGACUCACGGCCGUGCCUAGGAAAAUGGUUUCAAAGAAAAAUUGUGGUUCCCUCUCAUAAUUGUAAGGUAUACUUGUCAAAUUUUAGAUGUUGGGUUUGUCUAGAUCAGAUGACACGAUUGUACGGUCAUGCAAAGUAGCCACGGUCUUGGUUUGGCUCGUGAUAUCUCAUUACAGUAUAGUGCUUCACUAAAGCAGCCAUAACAUUUUACUACAAUGUUGGAUUAAGGAGGAAAUUGAUUCUUUGGAACAAUAGUUCAAAUAUAUAUCAUUUGGUGGAUCGUGAUCCCAAAGAUGCUUCAUAAUCUAUAGAUUAUGCCCAUUUAAAUCUGAUCAUUUCUCAAGAAAUUAAUUGCUAAGAGGGGUUUGGCUUGGUGAAGGGCUAGGGAGUUUCCUGUGGCCUUGUUACAUGGCCAAAUUCCUUAUCAUACUAUUACAACUUGAUUUUUAAUACUAAAAGUACUUGAAGCAUGGUUCAAGCCUUGGAUUGAAUUUUUGGGGGUGUUACAGUUACAUAAAUAUUUUAUGCUUUUGUGUGGAUUCUCUAGGUUUUUUUGGCUAGUCCCUGGUCUGUAGUUUAUGAGAGCCUUCUCUCGAUAGUUCCCAACAUUCAUUAUUUCCUUCUUAAUUGUCUUAACAUCUACCCCAUUAAAACCCUUUUCCAAAAAGGCCCUAGUGGGUUAAAAAAGAGUCAAGGUAAAAAAGAGUGUAGGUGAUUUGUAAGAGUGAAGAGGAUGUCUGGUGUCAUGACCUAAAAAUCAAGGGUCAUGAUGGUACUUGUCUCGGAAAGCCUUGACAAGUAAGACUAUCACCCAAAUUGAUACGAAAUGUGAAAUCAAUACCAAAACCCAAGGUAAUAUUUCUAUAACGGAGUCAAACCACACAAAUAUUGUAAAACCUGAAAUACAUAGUCAAAGAUACCAUACAAUACCCCAAAACCUGGUGUCACAAUGUAAGAACUACUAUAUGCAACUCAAAUGUCAAAUACCAUAAUAGUCCAAAAGAUCAAAUAAGUCUUUAUCAAUAAGAUUUCACCUUACGCACAGACUAGGAAUCAGCUAAAACACAUAAAUAUAUAAUCUAUGCAUCAAAAGAAAGCCAACAAUACCCAUAUUGCCCACUUUUGCAAUGGGGUCCAAACAAACCCCCUAAACAGGUUUUUGAAAAUGGAAGUGUAGAAUUGGAACUUCAGUCUAAAACAUAUUUACCAAUAUUAAAGGAACUCAUAGGAGAAAAUCUAAGUGAAAAGGGACUUAAAUUGGGUUUUAAAUCAAAGAAAAUGCUAAUUUAGGCCUCUUGGUCCAAAAUUCCAAAUUUCACCUUUAAAUUCGAGUUUAAAUAAGAUUUAAAUGAGAAGAAACCGAAAGAAAAGAAUUGAAAUAGAUAUUUGGAGCUUACCCAUGAUUAAAAAUGGAAGUAAAUGCCCAAAAACUUGAACCCCAAGCCCAAAGUCUCGAAAAUGGUAAAUGAAUCUCAACAAUGGGGGUGUAAUCCACCCAGGCAUCACCUAAGCGAUAGACGUCUGGCAUGCCAGUGUCUGUUAGGUAACCACGCUAUUGUUUAAGUGGCAAUCACUUAAGUGAGCCUAGUGUCUCUCAGGAGAGACUUUGGUUGUCUGGUCUAUUUCCUUUAGCAACCAAAGCCUCGCUUAAGCGAGUGCACCAGUGGGUGGUGUACAUGCUGGAUACUUAAAGAAUUCACAGUCUCUGUGGAUACGAACUAUGCAACUAGACUAAAUUCAAUUCUUCGGACUCAAUGGCGAUAUCAAAUUUUUGAAAUAAAUGUUGUUUACACAAAAUUUACUCCAAAGACCCAAUUUUAUAAUUUUCUAAGUCAAGGGUCGAAAUGAGAUAUAAAAGUCAUGAAACAACACAACCUAUGUUACCAAUCUAAAAUUGACGUCCUAGAUCUGCUGGCAGUCUAUUUUUCCAUCAAAUAUACAGAUCAAUAAACAAUGACUGAAGUAAACUAAUAAGCCUUUAAGAUCAUCAAAAACUAUAAUAUUGCAUAAAUUAUACCAAAAUGCAUUGACCCUCACACUCCGAGAAUACCACAAAGCAACCAUGAGGUGGGUUAAAAUGAUCAAAUCAUAUAGAAAUAAAUAUUUUAUUCAAAUCACCAAAAAUCUGGCCACAUCCACUGCUAAAAAUCUAGUUUGUCCUAAACUAAAGGCAAUAGAAAAUAUCCGAAUCACCAAAAAACUGGGGAUAACUACAAUUCAUAUCAGUCUCAACCUCCCAAGUAUACGCAUCUACAGUUCGAUGUCUCUACUGGACCUUAACCAUAAGAAUAACCCAAGAACUCAAUCGUCUGACAUCCUUGGCUAGAAUGGAGAUAGGAUCCUAAGCAAAAGACAACGACUCAUCUAACUGAACUGAACCCAACGAAUGACACGAGUCUUAUCUAGAAUGUAACACCAAAGCAUAGAAACAUGAAAAACUAGAUGAAUAGUUGAUAAAUAUUGGGGCAAUUCUAACUCAUAAGCUGCAUCCCCAAUAGUUUGGAGGAUCUCAAAAGGUUCGAUAUACCUGGGGUUAUACUUACACCUCUUUCCAAACAUUAACACACCAUUUAUUGGCAAAGCACGAACAAAUACGUGAUCGCCAACACUAAACCUUAAGGCACAAAGUCUAUGAUCCACAUAGCACUUCUGGAUACUUUGAACCUCUCAAAGUCUAUCCUAAUUUUUAGGUCGUUACCUCAUCCACCACUAAAAAUCUAGUUCCUUCUCGAACUAAGGCAAAGAAAUACCUGAAUCAAUGAAGAGCUGAGGAUAAGAACUACGCAUAUCAGACUCGACCUCCCAAGUAGCUUCAUCUACAGGUCGAUGUCGCCACUGGACCUUAACCACAGGGAUCACUCUAGAGUGCAACUGCCUAACAUCCCUAGCAAAAAUAGAAACUGGAUCCUUAACAAAGGACUACCGCUCAUCUAACUGAACUGACUCCCAACGAAUGACAUAAGACUCAUCAGGAAUAUAGCAACGAAGUAUAGAAACAUGAAAAAUUGGAUGAACAACUGAUAGAUCAGGGGGCAAAGCCAACUCAUAAGCCACAUCACCAACAGUCCAAAGAAUCUCAAAUGGACCAAUAUACCUGGGGCUAAGCUUUUCGCUCUUCCUAAACCUCAUCACACCCUUCAUGGGUUAAACUCAAAGAAAAAUAUGAUCACCAACACUAAAUUUUAAGGCACGAAGUCUACGAUCAGCAUAGCACUUCUGCAUACUCUGAGUCGCUCUAAGUCUAUCCUGAAUGACUUGGACUCUAUCCAAAGACUCACAAAGCAAGUCCUUACCUCAAAGUCUAAUCUCCAAAAUAGCAAACUAACUAAUUGGAAAACGACAAUACCUACCAUACAAAGCCUCAAAAGGAUCCAUCUCAAUACUAGAAUUCUAGCUAUUAUUAGAUGCAAACUUUGCCAAAUCUAGAUGUUGCUCCCACUGACCACUAAAGUCCAUAACACAAGAACAGAGAAUAUCCUCCAAAACCUGAAAAGUCUGCUCAUACUGAUCAUCGGUUGGGGGAUUAAAUGUUAUUCUAAGAUCAACUCGAGUACCCAACUCUUCCUAAAAAGUUUUUGAAAGGGACAUAUGUACACUGACCCUUGACUCAAGAUGCUAAACACUGGCAUACCAUAAAGAUGAACUAUCUAAUAAAUAUAGAUAUGGGCCAACCUCUUAGCACCAAAAGAAACCUAAACUGGGAUAAAAUUAGAAGAUUUGGUUAAUCAAUCCAAGAUGGCCUAAACACUAUCAAAACCAUGAGAAGCAAGAGGCAAACCAUACACAAUGUCCAUAGUGAUUCAUUCCCAUUUUCACUUGAAAAUGGGUAACCUCUAAAGCAACCACUAAGUCUCAAAUGCCUAGACUUCACCUGCUGGCUUCAUAGGGAAUGAACUAUAAAAUUUGCUAAGUCCUUCCUUAUACCACUCUACCAGUAAUAUUGCCUCAAGUCACGACAUAUCUUAGUCACUCCUGGAUGGAUAAAAUACUUUGAACAAUGAGCCUCAUUCAAAAUAAAUCUAAUCCAAUCACCCACUCUUGACACACAAACUCAAGACCCAAUCCCCAAAAUACCAUCUUGAUCAAUAAAGGCUUUCUUAGUCUCACUACUCAAUACCUUAUCCCGAAUCACUCUUAACCCAACAUCAUCAAACUGAUGAACUUGAAUUUUCUCUAUUAAGGAAUACCUAUACUUCACAUAUUCCAAAAUACACCUAGAUGUCGAAAAAUUAAUCCUAAUUAUCUAGAUAGCCAAAGACUAAAUUAUAUAAUCCAAAUAGCCUCUAAAUUGCUAGAGAGGAUUCUUAUGAGUUAAUAGAAACUUGAUGGCUUCUUCAUGGCUAUCAAAAGGCAUCCAUUGGGUUAUUAUGAUGAUCAAAGAGUCUCAAGGGACUUUAGAUAGGUCAAGGGAAGGAAAAAUGGGGCUAGAAAGCCCCUAAAAGAGGACAUGCACCCCAUCCACUUUGGAGGUGCACCCAACCCGCUAAAGUGGGUCAAAACAACCCACUAUACCUUUAGCAUGUGCCCCAUGUGCUCUAUAAAUGCUUAAGCAUGUGCUUAAUGGGAUUUUAUGCUUUUGUCUUUCCUAAAUGGGUCACAUUUGGGCCCAUAUGAUGUAAAAACUUAGCCUAGAUAAUAAAUAGAACUUUUUUGGUUUCAUUUGUGAUUUUAUUUAUAAAUCAUCAAUCUAAUACAUGAUGGGCCAAUCCAUCUUACAAGUCUAACACAACACUUGAUCCAAAUAAUAUUUAACCCAAAUAAAUAACAAGUGGACCAGCCCAAUUAAUUGACCCAGUCUGAAAACCUUAUAUAAAAAGAGUAGGGUUUCCAAAUUUAGCAAUAGAAUUGAGCUCCUCCUUUCUUCGCCCCCUUCUUAAUAUUUAGCUUCACCAACUUUGAAUUUCUUCUUAUUCAACUUUAGGUGGUAAAUACCGUACCAUUGUUGCUCCAAGAUGAGGAUUCUAACUUUCCUGAGUGAGUUUAUUCCCUUUUUGCUUAUUUUGGUGCUUAAACUUUAAAUGAGUCCCUGAUUUGAAUCCCUUUCAAUCACUAUUUUAGGUUAAAUAUUUAGUAUGUUUCCAGUUAUUUUUGGUACUAACAUGACGAGUCUUGUCUUUUGACCCUUUCUUCGUUUUUCAAGUAAGUCCUCUAUAUUUAUGAGCAUGCUUCUUGACUUAUGUCUUGCUUUUAACCAUCUGCUUUUUCUCCAUGUGUAUCUAUAUCUGGGAUAGAGAUGAUUGGAUGCUUGAACCCGCUAAUAGUUGAAAAGGAACAAGUAGCUGAGUCGCUUGAAUCUUAUCUGACUUGGUGACCUCUGAUCUACUGAGUUUUCUUUGUUGUUGGAUAGUGUAGAUAGGAAAACUAGCAUUUUCACUUUUUUUGUUCAGUCUCCUUAGUUGUAAAUAUGUUGUAUAUGAAAGACCUUACUGUAGACUUACCAGUCCCCUUAUCCUUUUGCUAAAAUUAGCGUCAGAUAUGGGCAUUGUUGCUUGUCUCUGUUAAGUAUCUUUCUACCUGAACUUGGUAGUUGGUUGAACGUUGUAAAUAUGAACUUCUCCUACUCAAAUGAUGGAUUAGAUAAGUAAUCUUCAAGUUGGUUACCUUCCCUAAAUAUAUGUCUUAUUUAUACUUGCUUGUUUUGUAACAAAUGCUUUAUUCUAUUUAUUGUGUUUGCUAUCUUCCUUGGUGUUUUCCAUUCCUGGCUUAAGAAUUUCUGCAUUGCUAGUGAGUCUAUCUGAAUAAUAACCUUUUCUUCUCCUGACUGACUGUAAUGAGUAACUACUUGCAUUAUGGUUUCAGCUUCUACUACCAUGUUAUGUGUCUUCUAUAAUUGCUCCUUCUGUAUGCAUUAGAUCUCCCUUUACAUCCCUUAAACAAAAUGCCCAUGAGCUGCUUCCUAGAUUCCCUUUUGAUGUUCCAUCCAUAUUGUAUUUAUACUAACCCUGCUCUAGUAAUUCCCAUAGCACAAUAUUAGAUGUGACUCUAGGUUUUAGUUGACUGAGAUGAUUCAAUAUUGUUGGCCAGUCCAUUGCAAAUUCCAGUGUUAGUUUCGUCACCUUCAGUUGUAUCAUUAGGUGUCUUGUAACAUUGAAUAUUGAUCUAUGCACACUAAUUUCUUUGCCUUGAUGCUUCUUAGCAUUUUGAUCUAUGCACACUAAUUUCUUUGCCUUGAUGCUUCUUAGCAUUUAUCCACUUCCACACUUCCCAUAUUAUGAUUAUUGGUAUUACUCUGAAAUAGGCUCUUUCCCUUUGUUUUACUUGAGCAUUCCACCACAAAUAAAUUAUCUCUCUUAGACUCAUUAUUUGUAUGCUUAUUUAUGCAAAAGAAGAGAAAAUAGGACCAGGUCCUAUUAGCUAAAAAUGAUCUCAUUAGCACAUGUUAUAUGGUUUCUUGUGCUGGAUUUUGACAACACCAGUACUUGGAAUGACUAUGUAUCCCCCAUCUUCUAACUAUAUUAUGUAUUGAAAUCCUUCCCUACAUAUUCUCUACAUAAAAAUAUAAUCUUGAAAGGCAACCCUUUUAUCCAUAGUUGCUUAUUUAAGUCAUUAGGCUCUGCUGCCUAACAUACGGCCAUACAGACCUUACUGUGAAGUUUCCUUGUACUUCCAAGCUCUAAAUUGGUUUGUCCUUUUGAUUUGUUAGAUCCACUGCCCUUACUUUGAGCUUUACAUAAUCCACUAUAUCAUCUAUAAACAUACUGUUCAGAAUAUCCUUAUUCCAGCUCCUAUUAGUUAUUAAGUCACUGACACACUGAUAAUUGUCAUCCCAUUCCUUACUUUCCUCUAUAAGAGAGUAUAUCUCUCCCAAUCUGUUCCAGAUAUCUGUAACGACCUAAAAUCUCAUCUUGAGAUGCCACACGGUACUUAAGGCUAUAAUUAGCCCCAACCUAACCCUUUGAUCCUGCUACUAUGCUUAGAACUUACUCUAAUGACAAACAGAGCAAAACAAAGGUACUAUCAUAUCAUAUUUCAACUGAAAUUACAAAGGAAUACUGUCUGAAUAGCAUAAUAUUAAAAGGUCUAAAACACCACUGAUCGUCUAGUUUGACAAAGCCUCUACUGCUCAAACUAGAGAGCCAUUGGGACAGACCCCAACUGACUCAAACUAAUCUAAAAAUAACACUUAAAACACUAUAAAAGCAGAAAAAGUUGCAGAUAUAGGUCCUCAAACUAUGAGGACUCUCCAAGAAUAAUGAUGUAGAUAAGAUGCUCGGACAUCACGAUCGCUGCUGAGAUUGAGCACCUGAACCUACAUUAUGAGACAAUGUAGCACACAGACGUAUGUGUUGAUUAAUAUUUUCAGGAUGUACUGAGUAUAUGGGGGUGUAUGCAAUAAUUAAAAACAACAAUACAUUAAUCUUUUAUAGAAAUCAUGCAUGGUGAUAUAACUGACUCACAUAGCUUGAAUAACUCAAAAAUGUAAAUCUCAUAAAUUAUGACUAAUGGAACGUAUAGUAUAAAUCUCGUGAGUUAAUACACUUGGUUCUAAAAAUCUGUAUUUCUAGUCUCUUCUCAAAACAUAUAGACUACGUAGUAAAGUGCUCAGCUCUGUAUCUGAAAGCUAAGACUGUAACAUGGAAACUGAAAUCUCAAGUAAAAUAAUAUUUGAAUAAGCUUGUGAGCCUUCACACUCAUUAUCUAAAAAUCUUUACUAACUAGGUGUAAUGCCUAAUUUUUUGGAAUCGAAACAUCACACGGUGAUCAUGAUCCCAAAGGUCCACAAGCUAACCCUCUGCUAAUAUCUAUACCUGAACACUGCAUAAUAUUGAUAAUAAGUGUGGAAACUGGCCAUAAGAUUCAAAACAUCUAAAGAUACUCAAAAUUGAAAACUGAAUACUGAUACAUCUAUCCAAAAAGCCUCUAAACUGUCUGAACUGUGGAGUAGAUGGGACAUGUCCCCAACUAACUCCGUCUACUGAAAAUAAACAAAGCUUGAUGUAAUAAUAAACUAAGGAUCAUCCUCGAAUGAAGAGGACUCACUACUAUGUCUACUGUUGCUGACUGGGACUGAGCUGCUAAGGGUACUCUGGAUCUCGUACCUUUGAACCUAUCGUGUCAAAUAAUAUACCAUAGCACAAAUAUGUCAGUACGGGAAUGUACUGAGUAUGAAGAUGAGGUAAGGCUAAAUGCAAGGGCUUAUGCAUAAACAAUUACUUAACUGAAUAAUCAUGAGAAUACUGAAUGAGGACAUAUGCAUGAAUGCACAACCAUAACUGAAAACAUUGCAACUUGAAAUACUAAAACUCGAAUACUGCUUCACUAACAUCUGAACUCACUACUAAUAUUGAGAUACUGAAUAACUGAAUCUCCUCAUAUUAAUAACUGAAUACUAAAUCAGUCUUAUCUAGCGAGUGAUCUUGAAAACUGAUAAUAUUGAAUCUAAUUAACUGAAUCUACUCAUAUUAAUGACUGAAUUCUAAAUUUUCUACUCUCAGCUGACUGAAUCGGAGAUCAAACCUCUCUAACGGAUGAUCUCGAAAUCUACAAUCAAUGAUAAGAAAGAUUAUGUCUGAGAUCAAACCUAUCUAGCAGAAGAUCUCUAAAUCUGAUAAUGGGAAUACCCAACUAAAUCUGAGAUUGAGAUCAAGCCUAUCUAACGGGUGAUCUCUAGAUCUAAUAAUGAGAUUACUCAACUGAAUUUAAGACUGAGAUCAAGCCUAUCUAACGAGUGAUCUUUGGAUCUGAUAAUGAGAUUACUUAACUAAAUUUGAGAAUGAGAUCAAUCCUAUCUAAUGGGUGAUCUCUGGAUCUAAUAAUGAGAUUACUCAACUGAAUAUGAGACUGAGAUCAAGAUAAUCUAACGGGUGAUCUCUGGAUCUGAUAAUGAGAUUACUCAACUGAAUCUGACACUAAGAUCAAGCCUAUCUAAUGGGUGAUCUCUAAAUCUGAUAAUGAUGUUACUCAACUGAAAUUGAGACUGAGAUCAAGCCUAUCUAAUGGGUGAUCUUUGGAUCUGAUAAUAAGAUUACUCAACUGAAUUUGAGAAUGAAAUCAAGCCUAUCUAACGGGUGAUCUCUGGAUCUGAUAAUGAGAUUACUUAAUAACUUUAUAUGGGACCAUUCCUAUCUAGAAGGUGGUCCAUGAAUCAAUGGAACUAUUUGAGUUCCUUACUAAUACAAGGGACUAUAUCUGAUAGUCCUGAUUUCUGAGUUCUUCUCUGAAGAUUGAUACUAAAACUGCAACUGUAAGAGUGCUCACUUAAUCGACAUUCCCCAAAUCUAAACUGGUGGGGUCCAACCGAUAACCUCAGCUAGAAGGGUGUCAAUAUCAUGCCACGGAUAAAGACCUCUCUGGUCAAGCCUCUCUAACGGGUGACUCUCAAAGGAAGUCAAGCCUAGGGCAGUAUAAUAGUCAAGCCUAUCUAACGGGUGAUAAGCCUUUUUCUGACAGGUGACUCCUGUAUUGUGCGCUGGCUACGCAGUUCUGGAGUUCAGGGAUUACUCUUAAUGACUGUGCCUCUCUAACGGGGAGCCGCCAUCCCUGCACUCACUCGAUGCUAGCUCCUACUCCCAACUAAAAGACUCUAAAAUGAUUUUUAACUUAAACUAAAUUGAAUAUGAUAUUGAUCAUAUUUCUCAAUUGAUCGACUGAGUUAAAAUGAAUUCACUUGGUUCUGUAUUUGACGUAAUACUACUAAAUCUGAUUAUCUAACUGAUGGUACUGAGUUCUGGACUGAACACUCGAAUACUACUAAAUCUGAGCUGAGUAUUGAACUGAGGCUAAAAUACUAGCGAUACUGAGAUUACUGAGAUUUCUAAGAUUUCUUAAGUUUUGUAUUUGUCUAAGAUUACAGAUUUCUAUAACUCACUGAGUUUUGAGAAUCAUGGCUUGACUGAGAUUAUUGAAAAAACUAACACUGGUUCUAGACUGUAGCUAAUUUGUCGGGUAUAAGUACCCCCAAGACUCAGUAACAUAAAAGUAAACAUAACAAUUCUUGGAUAAUCGAGACCAUGGGCAUUCAUUAACCAUCAAAAUCACUACAGUAUCUCUUCAGGCACUUGGAAAUCAUAAACAUGUAAUAGUAUAGGGAGACAUAUUAUUCGCUCAUACUCCAUUCAAUAAGGUCUUGCAUCAAAUACUUAACAUGCAUUAAAGAAUACAUAAUUGGGGGAUUUCAUGCUAAUAUGUCACAAUUCGUUCUCUAAGGCUUUUCAACAAACACUUGGCAUGGAUGAGCUUGCACACAAUUAGGGAUUUCUAGUCAACAUGCUAUAAUAGCUCUAAUUCCUUCACAUAAGCAUUUUAUCAAACAUAUGGGGAGUAUGCUUUGCUUAUUCAACAAUUUCUACACCUAAUUGACAUGAACACAUCACUUAACAAGCAACUUGAAGAGGGAUUAUCGUGAACACCACAUGAAUAUCACAUACUAGGAUCAAAGCUUGAAAACCUUGCAAACAAACAUGAAUCACAACUCAAUAAUAGCAUAAACAUCAAUUUCAACCCACAUGAAUCAUAAAAACUCAUAAACAUAGGAUCUUUGAAAUUUAGAAAAGGAUUCUUGAGCUUCUUAGAUGAAAGAGACCCAAGAAUCAACAUCCUCAUAUCUUAGGAAACUUUUUCUUAAAGACACUUGGAGAGAUUCUUAAUUUCUUGAUUUCUUUUGAUUUUCUUGAAGAAGAAAGAAGGGUUUUGAUUUUGUAAAAACCCUAGUUUUUGAUGUUGAAGAUGAGAAAUGAAAUUGUGAGCCUUGAUCAAAUAUAAAUAGGGGCAGAAAAGAGUGAAAAAAGGACCAAAAAGCCUUUCAAAAAAUGAGUUAAAAAUGUUGAACGGGGUCUACGAUAGUCAAAGUGAUGGUUCGUCGCUCAGCUUGACGGUCCAUCGGAUCAUCCGUCAUACAUCAGUUAGCAAAAUAAUACACUGCCUCAAUGAGACGGUCUCAAAUAUGGUCCAUCACAGCCUCGAUGGUCUGUCGUCCUGGCCGUCGCACUUGAGCCAAAAAAAGGGAGUUAUUGCCUUGGUUGCGAUGGUUCAUCAUAAGAUCGACGGUCCAUCAACUCGGCCAUUGCACUUGGACAGUUCUGACUACUUUUAGUAAAAUUUCCAUAACAUUCUCGUCUGAUGUCAAAUUUUGAAAAAAUUGGUAUCAAUGGAAAUAUUUAUCACUUGGGAAGACACUUCUCAACCUUUUAAGGCCAGAUUUACGCUUCACUUAAUAGGCUCUAAGGCUCAGACUACUAGAGAAUUUUAUGGGGUCUUACACAAGGAUAUCUUUCAAAACAUUACAAAAAAUACUCAAAAACUAUUUAAUUACUUUUACUAGCAGGGAGGUUCUCUUAACUGAUAUACACCAUACGAGCUACAUGGAGUCCAACGUUUUAUUCUCCUAAGGAAGAGACCUCAUAUUAUGGAGAGGUGUCAUACUCUUGCUAGGGAGUAAACCUUAACUCAGUGAUCACUAUCUCGGCCUCGGGCCCAUAAAUCUCAAUCCUAUAGUGGCACGUAGUUCUGGGGUAUGAAACCAUAGUAACUUACCCGGCUCGGUGCUAAAUUCUACGCCCUUUAAUUAGCUAUGCUCAUUUCAUAAGAAAUCCAUUUUUAAAAAUAAUCUCAUGGUUUAUAAUGAAACCAACUACAAAAUCUGUAAUCUCAUUAGUGAAGUGGAUUUAAAAGCUAUUAUGACCAUCAAGGUCAAACUUUAUCAAUAAUCUCAAAACAAUCAAAUCAUGGCUGCUUAUAGCACAAAAGUUCUUAAAAUUACAAUCUCAAAUAGGGCUUAAUGAUCCACAUAUCAAUCUCACGUUAAGACGUAUCAAAAUUCAUACUCGAUAUCAUAAAGAUUCAUAAAUCAUAUAGAAAUCUAGAAAUUUUUCAGCAAUAUGCAUUAUAAUCUCAACAUACUCAUGUACUUCAAUUUCAAAAAUAUUGAAAUCAUCAUAAUCUCAAGAAAUACAACACUUCAAUUUCUAAAACAUUGAAAUCAUCAUAAUCUUAAGAAAUACAACAUAGGGUAUAACCCAUACUUCAGUUUCAUAAGAAAAUAUGUAAAACCAUAUAUCUUUGUAAUUAAAAUAACUUUUGGGAACAAGAACGAAAGAAGUGUCCUUGUUCAAACCCCACAUACCUUAGGUUUUGAAUUUAGAUGAACAAGCUUGCUUGAGACUGUUUUUCGUACUCUUGAGUGGAGUUUCUUGAAGCUUUUGACUUGGGAACCAUGAAUCUUAAAUUAAUUUGCAAUAACUAUGGUGAAAUCCUGGAGAAGGAAUUAGGUCUUGCUUUUGAGGGUCAGUCUUGAGAGAAAAACCCCUAGUUUUUUAUGCUUUGGAUGAAUCUGAAGUUCCAUGCUUCGUUUUGAGAUAUCUAGGUGUUAAAAGGGGUGGAAAAAGACAAAAAAUCCCCUUUCAGAAAUGGCUUUAAAUUGCUAAACGGGAUCUGUAAUGGCGACGGUCCAUCACUAGCUCGACGGUCCAUAGGCCUGACCAUCGUACUUAGACCAGAAUAGGUACUUACUACCUUAGUUAUGACAUCUUGGGCGAUGGUCCAUCGCUAGCUCGACGGUCUAUCGGCCUGACCGUUGCACUUGGACCAGUGAAAAGGUUUAAUGCCUCAGUUGCGACAGCCGGAGCAACAGUCCGUCGCUAGCUCGACGGUCUGUCGGCCUACUCGUAGCUCCUGGGCAGUUUAGAUAUUUCUCUGUAAAAUGUCCAUAGCUUUCUACUCCGACAUCGGAUUUUGGUAAAAUGGGUAUUGUUGGAAAGCUAAUUCAAUUUCCCAUACGAUAAGAAGUCAAAAUUAGGAAAAUUCUACAUAGUUUAAACAUUCCUCACUCAGGAAGUCAUCCCUUAAUCUUUUGGAGACUAAAUUAGACUUAAAGAAAGUUUGGGAUAUUAUAAUAUCAUACCAUAUAUGAGCAUCUCCUCUCCUAAUUUUCCAUAUAAUAAGAUGGUCUAUCAAAUCCCUGACAUGCAAUAUCUUUUUUCGUACCUGAGAACCACAACCUACUUUUCAUAUGACUUUUUUAGGAUGAAACUUUCUACAGGACUUGUUAAACAUGUAUUCACUCCAAAUUGUCUUCUUGGUUCUAAAAUUCCACUAUAAUUUACAAAAGAGAGUUGUUGAAACAUAUUGUUACCUUCUAAAUCCAAGUCCCCCUUCUGCUUCUAGUAAACAUAUAGUUGACCAAGAAACCUAAUGUCUUCUUCUACCUCUAAUAGUACUACUACAAAAUUUUUUUACAAUUGUCUUUUGGAUAGUAUUUAAAAAAUUAUUAGGGGGAUUCAUCACUAAUUGACAGAGUAUUUCUAUGCUUUGUAGGACAUUUUUAAUAAGGACUGCUCUACCACCGUAGGACAAUAGCUUUCCUUUCCAAGCUUGUAACUUAGAACUGAUUCUAUUCAUGAUAUGCUGGUAGUACCCUUUCUUCUUUCUCAUGUAUAAAGUAGGACACCCUAAGUAGUUGAAAGAGAAAUGUUGCCUCAAGAUCCCUAUUCCAACUUUUUCCAUCACUGCUACACCAUUAGACAUACUGUCAUAUAGAUAGUGACACUUUUUCUCUGUUGAUUUUCUGUCCUGAUACACAUUCAUAUUUCUCCAAAGUAUCUUUCACCAGCUGUAAAGUUCCUAGUUCUGCCUUAUAUAAAAUGAUCAUGUCAUCUGCAAAUGCCAGAUGGUUGAUUUUAGGACUUCCUCUAGGCAUCCCAAAGAGUCUGAAUUCUUUUUUAAUCUUGAGUUUCUUUAAGCUUCUUGAUAAAACCUUUGCUGUAAUGAUAAAUAGUGUAGGUGAAAGAGGGUUACCUUAUUUAAUACCUCUAGUGGAUUUGAAAAAACCUUUUGGCUAUCCAUUUCAUAAAAUGGAGUACCAAUUGUUUGCUAGAAGCCUGAAUACCAUAUCAAUCAGCUGUUCACCAAAUCCUAUUCUUCUCAGUACUUUGGUCAGAAACAACCAUUCUACCCUGUCAUAUGCCUUCAUUAUAUCAAGCUUUAUCACCAUGUUUGGAGGUUUACCCCUCUUCCUAAAUUCAAAAACUAUCUCUUGAACCACUAAAAUAUUUUUAGCUAUACUCCUUCCUUAAACAAAACUAGCUUGUUCUUCUUAUACAAUAUGAGGAAGAAUAACCUUAAUCCUUUUAUGAAUAAUUCUAGAAAAAAUUUUAUUCAUAAAGUUACUAAGGGAUAUUGGUCUAACAUCUGAGAAGGUACUUAUUACUAGCUUUUUUGGUAAUAAUACCAAGUUUGUAAGAGUAAUAAAUCUUGGAAGAUCAUAACCACGGAAAAGCUAUUACCAUCUGGUGUAGGUCCUUUGGAAUAAUACUCAAUACAUCCUGGUAGAAUGGCUCUGUCAUGCCAUCUGGACCUCCUACACUAUUCCUAUUCAAACCCAUGACUGUAGUAUGUACUUCCUCCACUGUUGGUAUUUUCUUCAAUUCUUCAUUCUAGGAAUAUGUUACCAACUUUGGCAUUUGAUCUAACAAUGAAAAAUCUUUUGGAUCUUUUUUUCUCAAAUUGCUUCUAAAAUAAAACUUCUUCUGUCUUAGCUAUAUCCUCCUACUUGUCCAACUAGUUCCCAUUUGAGUUAUGUAUUCUUUAGAUUCUUAUCCUAGAUCUUCUUUCUAUGAGUAGAGUAUGGAAAAAUUUAAUGUUCUUCUGUCCAUCUUUAAACUACUCAAAAACAACUUUCUAUUUCUAAUAAUCUCCUUCUCUUUUCAGCUAAAGUGUUAAUUCUGCAUAUGCUUAUGACAACUUGGUUCUGUUAAUAGCUAAUGGUUCUUGAUUAAACUGUUGUUCUCUUACCUUAAUUACCUCCUCCAGAGUGGUAAGCUCUUGGAGAAUAUUUCCAAAAGUUUGCUUAUGCCAUUUAGUCAAUGUAGCCUUACUUUUCUUAAUGUUUUGGUGAAAGUUGAUAAAAGGGUUCCCUUCACAUUUAGUAGACUAAUUCUCCUUAAUAAUAUUAAUGCAUGAAUCUUUCUUUAGCCAAAAAUUUUGAAAUAUGAAGGGUUUGAUCAGGUGCUCACUUGAUUUGCUAAAAUGCAACAACGUAGGAGCAUGGUCAGACCCACUUUUUACUAGAUUUUCUAAUUCCAUAACUAGAAACAAGUCCUGUAUUUUUUCAUUAAUCAACAACCUAUCCAGCCUCUUAAAAAUACAAUCUUCAUCUAUUCUGCCAUUUCUCCAUAUGAGUUUACUUUCUUUGAAAGCACAUUCCUCCUGAUUACUCCUGCUAAUACAAUGGUUGAAAUCAUCAGUCUCAUCAACUAUAAAUUGUAAUCCACCAAGAUUUUCCUCUUCAUUUCUGAUUAUAUUGAAAUCGCCACCCACUAGCCAUGGGUUUUGCAUUAUAUUAGCCAUCUUCUCUAAUGAGUCCUACAAUAUUUGUCUUUCAUUCUAACUGUAUUUUACAUACACCAGUGUGACAAAUACCUCUAUUCUCUCAUUCUGAUUGUCCAACUUAAGAGUAAUCAGUUGUUCUUUAUCCCUGAUAAUACUAUAUUCAAUAAUAGUAUUUGUGAAAGCCCAUAUUUUACCUAAACAAUUCACCACUCAUGCUACUUUCCCAGUUGACCUGCAUACUCCUCUAUACAAUGACUCUCUUGAAAAGAUUCCAUUAGAACAAUAAGACCAAAAUGAAACCUUCUAUACAUUGUACUCAAUCUUGUGAAUGCUUUUUGUGUAUUCACAAAUCUAAUGUUCCAUAUUAAAGCAUUCAUUUUGAUAAUGAUUUAAGCAUAUGACUCCUUAUCUGCAUUAUGCUUGCAUUAAUCUUCUUACUCUUUUCUUCUUUUUCCCAUGCUUUGUAGUUAAAGAUUGAGCCUGAUCUAGAGAUAGAUCUACUUUAUUUGUAUCCUUUUUAAUAGUAUCCACUAGGUUCUCUUCAACCAGAUCUCUAUUCAUACUAUUCACCAUCUCUAUCAAAUUGUUUGCCUCCAUUACUAUUGGUAAUACCCCUUCCAGUAUCAUUUUCUAUUUAUUAGUCUUAUCAGAUUCUACCAAGGCCAAUUUUGCAUGAUUUUGAAUUUUCUCCUCCUUCUGAUUAUGUGUCUAAGCUUGCUGAUCUUCAUUAUGUUUGUUCUGUGCUGCUGCUAUACUUCUCCUUGCUUAUCACUUUCCUUGGUGCUACCCUUGGAUUGCUCCUGAUUACCAUCAAUACUUGUCAACUCUUCUGUUGCUUUUGUUUCUCCUUUGGCAAAGAUCAUACUCACCCAAUCUUUAGUGUUUUCCUUGUGCUACAUAGGUGUGGCUUCUUUUUUAUUCUCCUAUUAUUCUUGAGUUAAAGCAUCAAAUGCAUUUAAUGUUUGAAUUUCCUCUGCCUUGUCUGUUAUCUCUCCAAUUAUAUGCCCAUAUCUAUCUUUUUUGUAUUUUUCUUCUUCUUUGUAGCCAUUGUUUCUUAGUUCUUAUGUGCUGCUACUAUCUGUCCUUACUCAUUCUCUUUUUCUUUAUCCUUUUCUUAUUCUUUGCCCUCUAUUUGUCCCAGGAUCUUGUCAUACAUCUCUAGAUAAAUAUUCCAACAAAAAACUUUAUCAUGAACCUAUAAGCAACAUUCCUUACAGUAUUUUGGCCCGUGGUUAUAUUGAAUACUAAUCCAUUUUGACCUGAUCUCUCCACUUGUAUCAUAUUCUUCAUUGAUCUCUACCCGUUGAGGUAACUUAGCAACAAGGUCCACAUCAAUCUUCACUCUAGCACAUCUUGGUCUUGUGUGGUUUUUUUGUCGCCAUGUCCACCAUUAAAGGUUUUUCAAUUGCCAAAGCAAUUGAAAAAAUUGCUUCUUUAGCAAACAAAUAUGGUGGUAGAUCUUGCAUGGAGAUCCAUGCAAUGCCUAUUAUUGUUUCAACAUCUGGUUCAAAUCAAGGGUCCCAUUUGAGGGUUCGCAUUUGCCAAUACACAUCAUUAACCUUAAUAUGAUGAGCUACUAUUGAUAAAAAGUGCACAUAGUCCUCUAGUUGACUCAAACUUAUCAAAAUAUGCCAUGAAUCCACCACCCUUAUUGUACAUUCUCCUUUUAUACUACAUUAAAGAGGGAUAAUUUUUCAUAAUGCAUUAACCUCUGGCCUAUUAUAAGAGAACUUACCUAUGACUGGAUACUGUAAAUUAUUUUAUAAUAUUAAUGCUUUCACCUUUGAUGAUUUCCAUUUCACUGAUAGCUCCCCAUGUACCAUUAUAACUAAUUUAGGAGGGACCUUAUUAUUGUCAUGCAUGUAAGGUUUAUUCUUCAAUAGAUCUGCAUACUUUGGUGCCACACUUUGUUGCUUCUCCCUUUUUACUUGCUUCUGAUUCAUUGAUUCAUCCAGUGGAUCAGCUCCACCAAAAUUUGUAGUCUGCACAUAGUUCUUAAACCUUCUUCUAGAGGCCUCAGGGAUUAUUUCUAUUUCUUACUUUUAAGUUCACUUUAGGAACAAAGUAGACUUUUAAGUGUGGGGUGGGGAAAUUCCUAAUUUUAGGCUCAAUUUUCAAAAAAAAUUUGGUGUAAGAUAAUCUUGUUGGUGCUAUUUUUGAUUACAUUGUGCAAGUGUUUUAGUUGUAUAAACAUGUUGAAUUAUGUGAAUUACUACUGUUGAGAAUCCUAGGCUCAUGUUUGUGACUCUUGUACUUGUGGCUUAAAUUUUUAAUUCAUGCUAUUGUUGGUUGAGCAUCUAUGAUGAUCCUAUAAGAGUUUCAUUUAGUAUGUAGUUAUUGAUGAAUUAUGAAUGUAAACACUUGUGAAAGUGUAAGGCAAGCUUGGAUUAACUUAUAGCAAACGUGGAAUCACUGAUGUUGAUUUAUCAAUUAGAAACGUGGUUUGCUUGAGAAUCCAAUUUCCUUGAGGUCUACAUAGGAGAUCAUGUGCAAUGUGUGACAUUGAAUAGAAGGUUAGGGGUUUGAUACACCCUUAAUUUGCUAUUCAUUCAUCCAUUUUAUCUAUCUAUUAUUUUCUUUUUAUCUAACCUUAUUUUUUAUAUUCGUAUCCUAGUUGUAGUUUUUGUUUUCGUACUUUGUUUGUAUAUCAUUUUGUAUAAGAGCUGAGCUUGAUUUCAUUCCUACGAAGUCAAUCUUAUGAUUGCUAACUUGAAAAUCCAUAAAAAAGGAAGUGUCAAAUUGAAAAUCCCAAAAAAAUUUACUAUUCAUGUUUUUAGCCCUAGGUCAAAAUUUGAGUUUUUGUAUUUUUCUUUUGUUUCUAGUGUUAGAUUUGUGUUCUUUAACACUAUAGGAGUUCAGGUUCUAAAUUUGAGCCAAUCAGAGUCAUUGAGUGAGAUACCAUUGUUGACAGCUUGAACUUGAAGAAAGUGAAGAGGAUCAAAAGUAUAGAAAAAUUUGUUGAGAAUUUGGGAAAAUGAUGUUGGGAAUGAGUUAGAAAGUUGAAAAGUGCUUGAUUUCAAAAUUUCAACUCAUUCGGAGCUCUAGAGAAGAAGUUAGUGUUCUUGGUGUUCUUGAAGAAAUUGUUUUCUUCAAGAAGAACUUUCAGCUAUAAUUAGUUAUUUGAUCCUAAAAAGAGUAAGAAAAACUGUUGGUGCAAAGCACCUUUUGAAGAUCCAAAAGAAUAUCCCAAGGAGAGAACAAAAGGGGGAGACCAUUUGGAAGUACAAGUGGUACAAUUCAAGUUGUUUUUUGGCUGAUCUACCCUUGAAGUGACCUUGAGGUGCGCCCAAGGUGCAGCAGCAUGUUAAAACAGUAGCCAAGGCUUCUCACAUGCAUCCAAGUGCUCCACACCUGCUAGAGUAGGUCCUAAAUCAGCCCCAAACGCAGAUCACCUCUAGUGAACACAAAACAGCCUCAAAUGCGUACCAACACUUCUCCAACAUCAAUUCUAGUUCUAAAACACAUCUCAACGCUAUAAAAACUCCAUUGCUCAAGGUUUAAUUCUUAUUUUCAAUUUCUUGAUUCUUAAAUCACUUCUUUGAAUCUUAAACUACUCAUCGACUAGUAAUGCAUCUACUAUAUUGAUCGAUUAGUUCUUGAGUCUUUUUCUUUAGUAUUCCUACUUGUUCUUUCAAGCUCUUUUCUUUUGAAUUCAUUCUAAUUUCUUGGUUCAAGUCCUUAAGUAAUUUUAUAUUUGAGUCAUUUAAAAGAAGAUUUAUUCCAACCUUAAGCCAUAAUUGGUACCAAGCAUUUUCAUUGGAGUAUAAAUGACUUAUCAAUGCUUGCGACGCCAAUUGAGAAAUAAACUAAAGAUGUGAACUUUGAGAGAUUAUGAAGAUUUAUUAACUUCAACUUGUUUAUUGUUUGUGUUUUUUUAAGUAUUUCUUUCAUUAGUACGUUGGCACCAUAAAAGAUAACCCUGGCAGAUAUAAUGGCUGCUAUAUUGAGUGUAAAACAAGAUAUUAAUGCUAAUAUGGAUCAAAGGAUGGACUCCAUGAAUUGGAAAAUGGAAGGAAUGAAAGGAUCACUCUCAAGGAGGUUGGAAGACAUGAUUGAUACCCUUCCCAAUCCAUCAAACUUUCAAGUUUCCUUAAGUGGAAUGCUCCAAACGAACUUCAAGGUAACCAAGCUAACUCUUGCACUCUAGUAAAUAAGGCUAUUAGCCAACUAAAUAUGAAUGAUAGCUUAUUUUUAGGUGAGCCUAAUGACUCUUUACUUCAUCAUGAUAAUGUACAACUUGAGAGCAUGGAUAUAAUAGUUGAUCCUAAUGAGGGCCAAAUUAACUUUUCUAGUAAGAUCAAUUUGAGUCCACCUAGGUUGAAGACAAAGUAAUGAGUGAUAGUACAUUAUCUUCUGGAAAUUAUGUGUACCAACCUGUGUGUGAACCUAGUACACCACUAUUGGUGAUGUGGUUAAUGAACCUCAAGUGAGUGAUGAUGUUGAAAAUGGUGGUCAAUUGAAUAGGAGUGACCCUCAAUUUGACUUUGAUGAUGCUCAUGCUAGUGUAGAGGGUAUAACACUUUCUAUUAGUGGAACUCUUAGAGGAGAGGAGUUUGCCUAGGGCCAAGUCUAUAGCCACUCUACCCAUUUGAACCUGGUGACCAUUUUAAAUGUGGUGGUUCUUAUUCACACCACUUGGUGCUUGGUCAAGAUGACAAGAAAGCCAUGGUAAAGGUUGUUGCAAUUUAUCCCUAUAAGUCUUUCUUGAAGAUUUCUAAUCUACUUAAGGGGCCAAUUUUGUGUAAGGGAAGGAUAUCCAACAAAGAUGAGUAUUAUAGAGGUGUUAUGUAUUUAUUGAGACUUGGAACCCAUGUGUACCUUCAUGAAUGAUUGAUUGAUUACCAUGGUUCCUCUAUCCUACCCCAAUGUCCAAAUCUCUUGAAGCACCAAAUAGUUCUUACUUAUUAGGGUUAUCAUCCUUGAUUGAUUAUUUUGAUGCUUGGUUAAAUCUUAAGUAUGAGAAACCUUAGCAUGAUGAUAUUUUUCACAUAUUGAGGUUGUUGCACAAUUUUUUUAAUGGAACUAGCUUAGGAGAACUUCUUCAUGCUUAUCAUAGUCAACUCUUUUACACCUUAAAUUUUGACUCCUCUUCUAUUGUUUUGAAGGAUGUUUGGUUAUUUAUGAAAUGGGUGGCUCCUUGGCAUGGAAGAUUUGAUUUUAACCCUUGUGCUAACCCUCGUUCCUCAAAGAAAUGUUGGUUGUGUUUUUUCUCUUGUUUUUAAAGGUUGUAAAUUCGAGGACAAAUCUUCUUCAAGAAGGAGAGGAUAAUACAAUCCAAAUGGCCUCUGGAUUGCUAGAGAGGAUGCUUAUGAGUCAAGAGAUACUUUAUGACUUCUUGAUGGGUCUCAAAAGGCAUCCAUUGGAGUAUUAUGACAAUCAAGGAGGCUCAAGGGACGUUAGAGAGGCAAAGGGAAGGCAAAACGUGUCUAGAAAUCCCCCAAAAGAGGACAUGCAGCCCAUCCACUUUGGAGGUGCACCCAAUCCACUUUAGAUCUACUACAAUGGGUCAAAACAUUCCAUUAUACCCUUAGGAUAUGCC